rnacentral:tRNA from 1 species
GCGAGGGUUGCCCAGACCGGUCAAAGGCGAUAGCUUGAGGGGCUAUUUCCGUAGGGAUUCAUGGGUUCAAAUCCCAUCCCUCGCACCA